rnacentral:lncRNA from 1 species
AAAAAAAAAAAAUGUACAUAAUCAUACCUUCCCUCUCUGCCUCACAGGGUGCCUAUGAGGACAAAAAAGGUGGUAUAUGUGAAAGUGCUUCAUAACUGAGCUGGUAAUCCAUAGAUGUCUGGUAUUAGCAAUGUUUUCUAAUAAAAUAAUAAGAGUAAUACUCGUUAUAACCUCUUUGCUUUGACAGUGCCUUUCAUUGCAGCCAUUCAGUAAUUUUGCAGCUUAUUAUCACCUGUAUAACACCCCUGUUGCUACCAUGUCUAAAGGUGCACAAGCAGCCAGCCAGUGAGGGAAGGGGAAGGUCUUUCUUCUCAGCAUGUCUUUAGAGCAGUGAUUCUCUAAGUUGUAGCACACUGGAAUCCCCUGGGGAGCUUCACACAUGCAGGUGUCUAGGUCCCACCCUGGCCAAUUAAAAUUUAAUCUGGUGGGGAGGAACUGGGCACCAGUAUUUUUUUAAAGUUUCCCAAGUGAUUCUAAUAUGCAGCCAAGGUUGGCAACCACUGCUCUUUGGACUAUUUGUACAUCUCAGUGGCUGCUGAAAGUGAUCACAGUUUUAAAAGAACACAGCUUGUGGUUCUGGAAAAAUCCAUCUGCUUUUUCCAGAAAUGUAGUACGUAAGUCAAAUAGGUCUGAGGUCACUUGGGAGAGAAAUCCAAGAGUUGGACUGAGAGCUCAAACCACAAAGAUUCUAAAUGCCACCAUCACUUAGAUAGCUGCCCUUUUUCCUGAACUGCCACUGUUGACAGAUAAGAUGGUGCACACAGCGAGAAUCUGAGCAGCACAGAGCCCCCCAUCCCCAUCACUGUUCCUCCACUAAGCUCCCCUUGAAAACAUUCCACAGGACUUCCUAUUCACGGUGAUUAGAAAAGUGAAUACCUCCUAUUUUAAAAGAAAAAAAUCUCAGAGGAUAAGCACGUAGCCGACGAGUGGCCAAUUCUGUAAUUUUCCCCAUGGAUAAUAAGGAAAUAAUCAUACAUUAUUUAAUAAUGUAUUUUUCCAUUGAAUUCCAAUGUGUCUACAAAUUAUACAUGUUUUAUAUGAUGUUUCACUUUAGGGUUAAGCCAAAUAAGCAUACAUUUAUUUUAUAAAUAUAAAUAUAUUAUCUAUUAAAAUAGUUUCUAGUAAAAACAUAGGUUUAGCUAUUUGACUCAAAUUUCUUAAAGAAGCCAUAGUUAGAAGAAAAUAUCCACUAGAGUAUACUAGACUUUAUGUCUUCGCAGGAGAAGUAACACUUCCUCAUCUGUUUACCUCUCAACUCCCUUCUCCAACUAGAAAUGAAGACACAAGAUAAUAAAAGGAUUUGACUUUUCAGUAUCCCUUUCGAACUGGGCACCACCCAGAAGAAAGAUUCUGUUAACUACUCCCUUUAGAAAUUAUCUCAAGUUUCAGAAGCUUACAAGUGCACAAAAAUGUUUCCUGCCGCCCCCACCAAGAUGGAACAGGGACAAGAAGAACUGAUCUGCAUCAUCCUCUAGAUUCUGUGUGCGCUUCCUGAUCCAUGCCUCCAAAUGACAAGGGUUACAGGCAUGCAGCAAUGAAUGUAGGCAAAAUCCUUUCUGUAUCUAAUUCAAAACACCAGUACCCCCAGUCUAGCAAAGGAAGUGAGAAUGCCCCAACCACUCUAAUCAGGGACAUGGACAGUUCUCCCAGCAGAAGUAAUGAGGGCCUCCUCUUGAGUCAAGAAGAUACUAUCUUCCCUCUGAAUCCACAAAAUGAAUCCACAAAAGCUCUAGUAGCUAAUUUUUCCUUUCAUUAAAAUAAAACAGGUGGUACAGUAAGUAAAGAGCUUAUCAAUUGCACAUUAAACUAGAGGUAAUGGGUACUGUACUCUCUGUAUUACGUUUUCUAUUGCUGUGUAACAAAUUACCCCCAAACACAGUAGCUUGGCACAGCAAAUGUGUGUGACCUCUCACAGCAUCUGAGGGUCUGGAAACUAGUAAGGUGGGGCUGACUCAGGGGCUCUCACAAGGUUGCUGUCAAGUCAGGGCUGCAGUCACCUGAAGGCUUGACUGGGGCUGGAGGAGCCACUUCCAAGUGUGCUCACAGUGUUCAUGGCUUCAGGCCCUCACUGGCUGUUGGCUAGAGUCCCCAUGGCCUCUCCAUAGACUGUCUGCAUGUCCUUUUGACAUGAGAGCUGGCUUGAGAAUUAGUGAUCUGAUAGAUGAGGGGAGAGAGAGAGAGAGGGAGAACAUGAGAACUAAUCUUAAAAAUAAACUCCACUGGGUUCUGCUGUGUCCUAUUGGUCACAUAGAUCAACUCUGCCACAGUGUGGGAGGGGACUACACCAAGGGUGAACACCAGGAGGUGGGGACCAUCACAGGCCAUCUUGAAGGUCACUGACCACAUUCCCCAAUCAAAGGCCUGCCUCCCCAACACAGCCCACCACCACUACCUCAGUCAGAGAACUGGGGACUCAGGAACUUAAAGCCAUCUCAAAGAAAUACAGUUGGGAGACCAUGGUUGCAAAUGAGUCCACGAAAGCUCUAAUAGCUAAUUUUUCCUUUCAUUAAAAUAAAACAGGUGGUACAGUAAGUAAAAGAGCUUAUCAAUUGCACAUUAAACUAGAGGUAAUGGGUACUCUAUAACUCAUUUCCAUUUCAUUGUGCUUUGCUUACUAGAAGCUUUCAGAUUUC